rnacentral:ribozyme from 14 species
CUUUUUUGCUCCUUCUUUUUUUCGUUCCUUUCUUUUUUUCCUCGGACUUCCUUCCUCUGACUUGUGACUGGUUUUCAAGUAACGAACAAACACGAACGAAUGCUACAGGAUCUG